UCAAGUCCAACAACUACCACAGCAGCUCCCACAACAACAACAGCUCUUCAAACCACCACAACUGCAGGUCCAACAACUACCACAGACGGUCCAACAACUACCAUAGACGGUCCUACAACAACAACAGCAGCUCAACCCACCACAACUGCAGGUCCAUCAACUACCACAGCAGUUCCAACAACUACAACUUCAAGUCCAACAACUACCACAGAUGGUCCUACAACAACAACAGCAGCAGCUCAACCCACCACAACUGCAGGUCCAACAACUACCACAGCAGUUCCAACAACUACAACCUCAAGUCCAACAACUACCACAGCAGGUCCCACCACAACAACAGCAACUCCCACAACUACAUCGUCUGGUCCAACAAGAACCACAGAGAUUCCAACAACCACAACAACUGCUCCCACAACCACAACUGCAGGUCCAACAACUACCACAGCAGUUCCAACAACUACAACUUCAAGUCCAACAACAACCACCUCAGGUCCCACAACAACAACAGCUCCUGGAACAACCACAACUGAAGGUCCAACAAUUACCACAACAGGGCCCAAAACAACAACAGCAACUCCCACAACUACAUCGUCUGGUCCAAGAAGUACCACAGAGAUUCCAACAACCACAACAACUGCUCCCACAACCACAACAGCAGGUCCAACAACUACCACAGCAGUGCCAACAGCUACAACUUCAAGUCCAACAACUACCACAGCAGGUCCCACAACGACAACAGCUCUUCAAACCACCACAACUGCAGGUCCAACAACUACCACAGCAGGUCCUACAACAACAACAGCAGCUCAACCCACCACAACUGCAAGUCCAACAACUACCACAGCAGUUCCAACGACUAAAACUUCAAGUCCAACAACUACCACAACAGGACCCAAAACAACAACAGCAACUCCCACAACUACAUCUCCUGGUCCAACAAGUACCACAGAGAGUACAACAACCACAACAGCAGCUCAACCCACCACAACUGCAAGUCCAACAACUACCACAGCAGUUCAAACGACUACGACUUCAGGUCCAUUAACUACCACAGCAGGUCUAUCAUCUACCACAUCAAACCCUGCAACAAAAAGAUCAGUGCCAACAGCUACAACGUCAGGACCAACAACUACUACAUCAGGUCCAAAAAGUACAACAACAGCUGCUCCAACAACCACAUCUUCAGGUCCCACAACGACAACAGCUCUUCAAACCACCACAACUGCAGGUCCAACAACUACCACAGAGGGUCCUACAACAACAACAGCUGCUCAACCCACCACAACUGAAGGUCCAACAACUUCUACAGCAGGUCCCACAACAACAACAGCAACUCCCCUAACUACAUCGUCUGGUCCAACAAGUACCACAGAAAUUCCAACAACCACAACAACUGCUCCAACAACCACAACUGAUGGUCCAACAACUACCACAGCAGGUCCCACAACAACAAAAGCAACUCCCACAACUACAUCGUCUGGUCCAACAAGUACCACAGAGAUUCCAACAACCACAACAACUGCUCCCACAACCACAACUGCAGGUCCAACAACUACCACAGCUGUUCAAAUAACUACAACUUCAAGUCCAACAACUACCACAGCUGGUCCCAGAACGACAACAGCUCCUGAAACAAACACAACUGAAGGUCCAACAACUACCACAGCAGGUCCCACAACAACAAAAGCAACCCCCAAAACUACAUCGUCUGGUCCAACAAGUACCACGGAGGGUCCAACGACCUCAACAGCUGCUCCAACAACUACAACAGCUGCUCAAUCCACCAAAACUGCAGGUCCAAUAACUACCACAGCAGUUCCAACAACUACAACUUCAAGUCCAACAUCUCCCACAGCAAGUCCCAGAACAACAACAGCAACUCCUACAACUACAUCGUCUGGUCCAACAAGUACCACGGAAAGUCCAACAACCGCAACAGCUGCUCCAACAACCACAACUGCAGGUCCAACAACUACCACAGCAGUUCCAACAACUACAACUUCAGGUCCAACAACUACUACAUCAGUUUCAACAACUAUUACAGCAGAUCCCGCAACAACAACUUUUGCUCCAGCCACCACAACUGUAGGUCCAACAACUACCAAAGCAGUUCUCUCAAUAAUAACAGCAGGUCAAACAACUACAACGGUAGGUCGUGCAACAACAACAGCUGCUCAAAACACCACAACUGCAGGUCCAACAACUGCGACAGAAACUUAUACAACAGCAGUUCCAACAACUACAACAUCAGGUCCCACAACUACAACAGCUGCUCAAACCACGACAACCGCAUUUCAAAAAACAACAUCAAGACGAACAACGUCCACUGCAAGUCCCACAACGACAACUGCUAAUCAAACCACAACAACAACAGCAGGUUCAAAAACCCCAACUGCUGUUCCUACAACCACAGCUACUCCAACCACCUCAAUUGGAAGACCUACAACUUCAACUGUAGGCCCAACAACAACAAUCGCAGGUACCACAAUUACCAUUGCGGGCCCCACAACAACAACAACAACAGUUGGUCUCACAACUACAACAGCAACUAAAGCAACUAAAGAAGUCACAGGCACUCCGACUAGUUCCCCGGAAUCCACAACAGUAUCAACUAACCCUCCAGAAGAAGAUGAAGGCUACCUUCUACUGCAGUUUCGAAUAAUGCGUAAAUGGAUCCCAGCUUACAUCAAUCGUCAGUCUAAAGAAUACAAAGCGAUCAGUUUUAAUAUAACAACAGAGUGCAAUAGAGGAUACCGCCAUUCCUAUCCGAACAUUUUCCUUAGAUCGCAUCUAAGACAUCUGUGGGAAGGCUCUGUGGGGACAGAUCUUGAUCUGAUCUUUGUGAAUCAAUCAGUUGUGCCAAACAUUACUAGUGUAGAAGAAUCUCUGAAAACUGCACUAGAUGCAUCGAUUAUAUUCCUGAAUAUAAUUCCAAGCAGUAUCAAAGCAGCCAUGCCAAAUAUGACCGAAGAUACCUCAUCCACAACUGCUGCUGCAACAUCAACAACAGCAACAACAACAAGACCACACAGACCCACCACUGUAGGGUCUUCAACAACAUCAAGAUUAACAACGCCAAAUAAUGCCGCAGCUACAGCCACAAGCACAUCUGCAACCAGCAACCGAGCAGCUAGCAAAAAUAUUGAUCUAUUCGCUAGACUGUUCUUCACCUCACUGCUUCACGCCCUGUUUAACAAUGUAUAAACAAUCAUGGUUUCAUAAUCUUUCAGGGUUUCAAGUUUUCAUAGAGGACUUGUCUAUUAAUGUAAAAAAAAAUAUAUAUGUAAUAUUUACUAAUUAGUAUUUUAUUAAUGAAUUACUUAUGAUUUGUAUGUGAAUAUUUACUAAUAUAUUAUCUGUUUAAAAUCAAACAAUGUAUGUCAAUCAUUUUAAAUAAAGGAAAAAAUCUGG
ensembl:lncRNA